rnacentral:lncRNA from 1 species
CAGACAUGGUCUCACUCUGUCACCCAAGCUGGAGUGCAGUGGCGCAAUGAUAGCUCACUGCAACCUUGAGCUCCUGGGCUCAGGCAAUCUUCCUGCCUCAGCCUUCCAAAGCACUGGGAUUCCAGGCACAAACCACCGUGCCCAGCCAGCGCUUCACUUCUUUGUUGCCUUCAAGGUAAUGAUAUAAAGCAACAAUUCAAUACCAAGUUGGUAAAAUAAUUUGUAUUUCAAACAGAAAGACUGCCUAAAAAUAUUACCUUUUGCUCCUAGCACCCAGACAAACAAUGAAUAAAGGGAAAUAAGGAAACCCUGGCAGCUGAGAAGGCCUCCUAGUCAAUAGAUCCAGUUUCUCCCAAGUUCAUACUGCAGAUGAACUUGUAGUUCAUUUAAGUAUCUAGAUCUCUUUCCUUCAUGUAGAGACCUUAAUCAAAGACUCUUCUCAGGAUUUUAUUUCACAGCCUAAGAAAUGUUUAUUUAAUUUAAUAAAAUACUCUUUUUCUUUAAGGUUGGGUCCAUUACCAAAUACUAAGUCAUGUUGAAAAAAUUAUGUAUAUACAUACAUAUGUCUAUAUAUAUAUAUAUAUAUAUAUAUAUAUAUAUAUAUCUCACCAUAAAAUACUAUCCUAGGUUAUCAAUAGUGUGCUUAUAGUGCUGAUCUUACUCCUAGUAGAACUGUCACAGUUGAUCACUGUCCAUUAUUUUAGGAUAUUCUUAGCUGUGGAGUUUGAGAAGACUAUGAAACUAUUAUACAUAUUUGAAGUAUAGUUAUAGGUUAUGUUAGUUACUUUUAAUAAAUUUAAUGAUUAGUUUGACUGUUGACUAGGCAUAUACAAUUAAGUAGAAACGACACAAAACACUGAGUGAAUAAUUCUAAAAAGGCUUAGGAGGCUCUUUUCACUGUCCAUGAAAUCAUCUUGUGGCCUCUUGAAUCAGCUAUGCACAAGGCACCAACAUAUCUACGUCGCACCAUAAAGAUUCCACAGUCUUCCAUUCCCACAGGUGGCCUCAAACCUGGGUAGCAGCUGCUGGCUGGGAUCAUUCCUGCACAGCUCCUCCAGGCUCCCAGAUUUUUUCAUCUACUUCUAUGGUUCUCUAAUAGCAACAUUUUUCAACUAUUAAUUUACUUUUAUUCAAAAUGAUCCAACAGACACCCCCCAAGAUUUAAUAUUUACGUUCAUAUAUAUAUAUUUGGAGACAGAGUCUUGCUCUGUCACCCAGGCUGGAAGUCCAGUGGUAUAAUCUCGGCUCACUGCACCCUUCACCUCCCGGGUUCAAGCAGUUCUCUGCCUCAGCCUCCCAAGUAGCUGGGACUACAGGCGCACGCUGCCACGCCCGGCUAAUUUUUUGGUUUUUUUAGAGAUGGGGUUUCACCUUGUUAGCCAGGAUGGUCUCGAUCUCCUGACCUC